rnacentral:rRNA from 1 species
UGAACGCUAGCUACAGGCUUAACACAUGCAAGUCGAGGGGCAGCGGGAUUGAAGCUUGCUUCAAUUGCCGGCGACCGGCGCACGGGUGAGUAACGCGUAUCCAACCUUCCGUACACUCAGGGAUAGCCUUUCGAAAGAAAGAUUAAUACCUGAUGGUAUGAUGAGAUUGCAUGAUAGCAUCAUUAAAGAUUUAUCGGUGUACGAUGGGGAUGCGUUCCAUUAGGUAGUAGGCGGGGUAACGGCCCACCUAGCCGACGAUGGAUAGGAGUUCUGAGAGGAAGGUCCCCCACAUUGGAACUGAGACACGGUCCAAACUCCUACGGGAGGCAGCAGUGAGGAAUAUUGGUCAAUGGGCGAGAGCCUGAACCAGCCAAGUAGCGUGAGGGAUGAAGGCUCUAUGGGUCGUAAACCUCUUUUAUAUGGGAAUAAAGUUUUCCACGUGUGGAAUUUUGUAUGUACCAUAUGAAUAAGGAUCGGCUAACUCCGUG